UAGUGUCGCGGGCAGGGGCUCCAAGCCUCUUGUGAACGUUCCAUUGUUCUGUUGCCUCGGCGGGUCCGGCCCCUACCACGGGGACGGGGCGCCCGCCGGCAGGACACUAAACUCUUGAACUUUAUAGCGGACUUACUCUUCUGAGUGGCACAAUGCAAAUCAAAUUAAAACUUUUAACAACGGAUCUCUUGGUUUCUGGCAAUCGAUUGAAAGAACGCCAAGCGAAAAUGCGAUAAGUAAAUGUGAAUUUGCAGAAUUCAGUGAAUCAUCGAAUCUUUGAACGCACAUUGCGCUCGGCAGUAUUCUGGCGGGCAUGCCUGUUCGAGCGUCAUUUCAACCCUCGAGCACUACGUUUUUCUAAACUAAAGGAUCGGUGUUGGGGCGCUCCAGCGGUCUUCGGAUAGCUGUGGGCUCUUAAAGGUACAGUGGCGGUCCCGUCGCGGAGCGUCCUUCUGCGUAGUAAGCUUAUACGUCUCGCAUUGGGAUCUCGGCGAGGGACUCUUGCCGUCAAACCCUCUAAUUUUUUAUGGUUUGACCUCGGAUCAGGUAGGGUUACCCGCUGAACUUAAGCAUAUCAAU
rnacentral:rRNA from 1 species